GAAUUUCUUAGUCGGCCAAAUGGUGACAUCAGAUUCUUGAAAGAUGGGCAGUAUCUCAUUCUUCCUAAUGGGCAAAAUGGAUACUACCUCCAGGUCCAGCUGACAAUGAUGUGCCUGGGACUGCAGAGCUGCAAGCUUGUUAUCUGGACACCAAAUGAGCACAUGGAAUUUGACAUAUCAUAUGACAAAGAAUUUACAGACACACACAUGACACACCUCCAAAAUUUUUACUUUACACACAUGCUUCCAAAAUUAGUCGAUGAUUUUGUUGCUAAGAAAAUUAAGCUCUGCCCCAAAUACCAGAAUCUGUUAAAAAUACAGUAAGCAGAUGACAGAUGUAGAGAGAGAGAGAGAGAGAGGAUUUAAGUUUUGUUUUAUUAAAAACAUAAAACACAAUCAAUUACAAUCUGAC